UACGAAGGGGGCUAGCGUUGCUCGGAAUCACUGGGCGUAAAGCGCACGUAGGCGGCUUUUUAAGUCAGAGGUGAAAUCCUGGAGCUCAACUCCAGAACUGCCUUUGAUACUGGAGAGCUUGAGUCCGGGAGAGGUGAGUGGAGCUGCGAGUGUAGAGGUGAAAUUCGUAGAUAUUCGCAAGAACACCAGUGGCGAAGGCGGCUCACUGGCCCGGUACUGACGCUGAGGUGCGAAAGCGUGGGGAGCAAACAGG
rnacentral:rRNA from 1 species